AGUGAACGCUGGCGGUAGGCCUAACACAUGCAAGUCGAACGGCAGCACAGUAAGAGCUUGCUCUUACGGGUGGCGAGUGGCGGACGGGUGAGGAAUACAUCGGAAUCUACUUUUUCGUGGGGGAUAACGUAGGGAAACUUACGCUAAUACCGCAUACGACCUACGGGUGAAAGCAGGGGAUCUUCGGACCUUGCGCGAUUGAAUGAGCCGAUGUCGGAUUAGCUAGUUGGCGGGGUAAAGGCCCACCAAGGCGACGAUCCGUAGCUGGUCUGAGAGGAGGAUAAGCCACACUGGAACUGAGACACGGUCCAGACUCCUACGGGAGGCAGCAGUGGGGAAUAUUGGACAAUGGGCGCAAGCCUGAUCCAGCCAUCCCGCGUGGGUGAAGAAGGCCUUCGGGUUGUAAAGCCCUUUUGUUGGGAAAGAAAAGCAGCAGGUUAAUACCCCGCUGUUCUGACGGUACCCAAAGAAUAAGCACCGGCUAACUUCGUG
rnacentral:rRNA from 1 species